UGGUAUCUCUGGCUGGAGUAGGAACAAAGUUUUGAUUUGUUUUUGAGUCCAGAUCAAACUAUUUGAAUUCAGUUUGUGGCUAAUAUAUUCCAUCCGAGCUACAGAAAGCAAUUAAUUUUAGCGGUAAAGAGGAAAUCUAUUAUAUCAAAUGUAUCCAUUGCAUAAAUAGAAAGAGAAAUUUCUGAAUCUCCUGGUGUUUGCUAAAUCAAUGUCGCCAACUAUACGUGUUGCGAUCUCUCUGCACUUCAUCUUAUUUGCUAUCUAGUUUUAAGUAAUGAAGAGCGAAAUUAGGAACUGGCGCGAUGACAGAAA